UGGGGAAUAUUGCACAAUGGGCGAAAGCCUGAUGCAGCAACGCCGCGUGAGUGAUGAAGGCCUUCGGGUUGUAAAGCUCUGUCUUCUGGGACGAUAAUGACGGUACCAGAGGAGGAAGCCACGGCUAACUACGUGCCAGCAGCCGCGGUAAUACGUAGGUGGCAAGCGUUGUCCGGAUUUACUGGGCGUAAAGGAUGCGUAGGCGGAUACUUAAGUCAGAUGUGAAAAUCCCGGGCUUAACUUGGGAACUGCAUUUGAUUCUGCAAGCCUAGAGUAUGGAAGAGAGUGAUGGAAUAUCUGGUGUAGCAGUGAAAUGCGUAGAUAUCAGAUAGAACACCAAUGGCGAAGGCAGUCACUUGGUCCAUUACUGACGCUAAAGCACGAAAGCGUGGGUAGCAAACA
rnacentral:rRNA from 1 species